rnacentral:misc_RNA from 1 species
AAGUCGUAACAAGGUUUCCGUAGGUGAACCUGCGGAAGGAUCAUUAUAGUAUAUCUAUAUCUAGGAUGGGGGUGCUCUCGGGCCCCCCACCGCCAAACCUUCGAUAAUCUAACAUUAAUAAGUUAACCUUGGCUUGAGGCUUGAACUUAGCCUGUGGAUAAAACUAAAUUCUUUAAUAAACUGCUUGAAUUUAAUGUAAAUGUCUGAAUUAAUAUUAAAUAUUAAAA